GUCUCGUUGGUGUAGUUGGUUAUCACGUCUGUCUAACACACAGACGGUCGGCGGUUCGAAUCCGCCACGAGACA